rnacentral:rRNA from 1 species
GACGAACGCUGGCGGCGUGCUUAAUACAUGCAAGUCGAACGGAAAGGCACUGCCUUUGUGCUGUGCUCGAGUGGCGAACGGGUGAGUAACACGUGAGUAACCUGCCCUUGACUUUGGGAUAACUUCUGGAAACUGUAGCUAAUACCGGAUAGGAGCUCAUGUUGCAUGGUAGCGGCUGGAAAGUUUCGGCGGCAGGGGUAGGACUCGCGGCUUCGCAGUUUGUUGGUGUGGUUGUGGCGUACCAAGGCGUUGACGGGUAGCCGGACUGAGCGGGUGACCGGCCACAGUGGGACUGAGAUGCGGCCCAGACGCCUACGGGAGGCAGAAGUGGGAAAUAUAGCGCGAUGGGCGGAAGCCGGAAGCAGCAACGCCGCGUGCGGGAGGACGGCCGUCGGGGUGUAAACCGCGUUCGCCUGGGACGAAGCGUGAGUGACGGUAAUGUGUAAAGAAGCACCGGCUAACUACGUG